AAUUCAAGAUGAGAUUUGGAUGGGGACACAGCCAAACCAUGUCACUUGUUAUUGGUCUAUUUAGAUUUUCUAUUUCUUCAUUAUCAAAUCUCAGAAGGUUGUAUGUUUCUAGGAAUGUACCCACUACUUUUAGGUUUGCCAGUUUGUUAGCAUGUAAUUACUGGAAAUAGUGUCACAAUCAUUUGUAUUUCUGUGGUAUCAGUUAUGUCUUCUCUUCCACUUAUAAUUUUAUUUAUUUGUUUUAUCUCUUUUAUUCUUAGUUAUGAUUAGCUUAAGACUUGUCUAUUUUAUCGCAUUCAAAAAACAAACUUUUAUUUUUGUUGGUCUUAUUGUUUUUCUAGUCUCCAUUUAUGUCUACUCUAAUUUUUAUUGCUUUCUUUUCGUGUUAACCUUCGGCUUAGUUUGCUCUUCUUUAUCUAGUUCCUUGAGGUGUAAAAUUACAUAAUUUAUUUGAGAUUUUUCUUUUAUCUUAAUGUAAGACUUUACUGCUAUAAACUUUUAGGACUGCUUUUGUUGCAUCCCAUAUAUUUUAGUAUGAUAUGUUUCUAUUUUCAUUUGGCUUGAGAUACUUUUCUUCUUUGACCUAUUAGUUGUUUGGAAAUUAAUGCAUUACUUAAUUUCUACAUAUUUCUAAAUUUUCCAAUUUUCCUCCGUUAAUGAUUUCUAGUUCUAUUCCACUGUAGUCAGAAAAGACACUUGCUAUAAUUUCAAUCUUCUAAAACUUGUUAAGAUUUGUUUUGUGGCCUAAUGUAUGAUCUGUCCUGGAGAAUGUUCCAUGUGUUCUUGAAAAGAUUGUGUAUUCUGCUACUGUUGAACAGAAUAUGCUAUAUGUCUGUUAGGUCCAUUUGGUCUAUCAUGUUCAAGUCCACUGUUUUCCUAUUGAUGUUCUGUCUGAAUAAUCUAUCAAUUUUUGAAAGUGGAGUAUUGAAGCCUCUUAUUAUUAUUGUAUUGCUGUAUAUUUCUAGUUUCAGCUGUUAAUAUUUGCUUUAUAUAUUUAAGAGCUCUAUUGCUUGUGCACAUAUUUUUACAGUUGUUAUAUCCUCUUGAUAUAUUAAACCCCUUACUAUUACAUAAUGACCUUUUUGGUCUCUUAUGACAAUUUUCACUUAAAGUGUAUUUCGUCUGAUGUAAGUGUAGCCAACCCUGCUCUCAUUUGGUUACUAUUUGCAUGGGAUAUCUUUUUCCAUCCCUUCACUUUUAGCCUAUGUGUGUCUUUACAGCUAAAAUGAGUCUCUUAUCAUAUAGUUGGAUUGUGGGUUUCAUCAACUUAUCAACUCUAUGUCUUUUGUUGGAGAAUUUAAUCCAUUUAUAUUUAAAGGAAUUAUUGACAGGUUAAGGACUGGCUACUGCCAUUUUUAAUUAUUUUCUGACUGUUUUGUAGUUUCUUUGUUUCAUUCUUCCUCCCUGGUGGUCUUCCUUUAUGAUGGGAUUUUUUUGUAGUGGUAUAUUUUGAUUCCUUUCUCUUCAUUUUUUUGUUUAUCUACUACAUGUUUUUUCUAUGUGAUUACCAUGAGUCUAACAAAAAAUAUCUUACAGUUAUAACAGUCUAUUUUAAGCUGUUUAAGUACUUAACUUUGACCACGUACAAAAAUUCUACAUUUUAACUUCCCUCCUCUGACAUUUUGUUAUUGGUGCUAUAAAUUAUAUCAUUUGUAUAUUGUGUAUCCAUUAACAAAUUAUUAUAGCUUUAGUUGUUUUAAUACUUUCAUCUUGUAAGCUUUAUAUAGAAUUCAAAAUGACUUUCACACCACCAUUACAAUAUUAGAGUAUUCUGAAUUUGACUAUUUUCUUAUAUUUACAGUGAGUUUUGUACUAUCACAUCUUGUUUUUGUUUUGUUAUUUAUUUUUUUCAUUUAUUUAUUUUUUUUUUUUUGAGACAGAGUCUCGCUCUGUCACCCAGGCUGGAGUAUGGUGGUGCAAUCUUGGCUCACUGUAACCUCCGCCUCCCAGGUUCAAGUGAUUCUCCUGCUUCAGCCUCUCCAGUAGCUGGGACUACAGGCGUGUGCCACCACGCCUGGCUAGGUGUGUAGAGACGGGGUUUCACCAUGUUAGCCAGGAUGGUCUCGAUCUCCUGACCUUGUAAUCUACCCACCUCAGCCUCCCAAAGUGCUGGGGGUUACAGGGAGCCACCACGCCCAGCCACUUUCACAUAUUUUAUGUCAUUAGUUAUGUCCUUUUGUUUCGACUUGAAGAAUUCCAUUCAGUGUUUCUUGUAAGGAAAAUCUAGUGGCUACGAAUUCCCACAGCUUUUGUUUUUCUGGAGAAGUCUUUAUUUUGCUUCAUUUCUGAAGGACAGCCUUUCAGAUAUAGUAUUCUUAGCUGGCAGGUUUUUUCUUUAAGCACUUUGCAUAUAUUAUCCCACUGUCUCCUGGCCAUCAAAGUUUCUGCUGAGAAAUCCACUGAUAGUCUUGCAAAAGUUCCCUUGUAUGUGCUAGGCAUGGUGGUGCAUGCCCGUAGUUCCAGCUACUCAAGAGGCUGAGGUAGGAGGAUCGCUUGAGCAAAGGAGUUCUGGGGUGUUAUAUGAUAUGCCAAUUAGGUGUCUGCACUAAGUACGGCAUCAAUAUGGUGACCUCCUGGAAGUGGGGGACCACCAGGUUGCCUAAAGAGGAGUGAACUGGCCCAGGUUGGAAAUAGAGCAGGUCAAAAUUCCCAUGCUGAUCAGUAGUGGAAUCACACCUGUGAAUAGCCACUGCAUUCCAGCAUGAGCAACCUAACAAGAAUCCAUCUCUAAAAAACCAAAAAGGUUUCCUUGCACCUAAGGAAACUUUCUUCUUGCUGCUUUUAAAAUUCUCUUUGCCUUUUACUUUUGAGAAUAUGAUUAUAAUGUAUCUUAGUGAAACCUCUUUAUGUUUAAUGUAUUUGAGGUUAUUUGGGAUUCAUAAAUUUGAGCAUUCAUUUUCCUCUCCAGAUUUGGAAAGUUUCUGUCAUCAUUUCUUUAGAUAAGCUUUCUGCUUCUUUUUCUUUCUCUGCCCCUUCUAGGACACCCAUACUGCAUAUAUCAGUUUGCUUGAUGGUGUUUGAGAAGUUCCACAGGCUUUCUUCACUCUUUCUCAUUAUCUUUCCUUUUAGAUUCUCUUCAAUAUUCUGAAUUUGAGUAAUUGGUAACUGGUUAAUUUCAAAUGAUCUAUCUUCAAGCUCACUAAUUCUUUAUUUUGCUUGAGCAAGUCUACUAUCGAAGCUGUCUAUGGAAUUUUUCGGUUUAGUCAUUGUAUUCUUCAGCUCCAGAAUUUCUGCUUAGUUCUUUUUUAUAAUUUCUACCUCUGUGUUGAACUUCUCAUUUUGUAAAUGUAUUUCUUAAUUUUGUUCAGCUGUCUGUGUUCUCUUGUAGCUCACUGAAUUUGCUUAAGAUCAUUAUUUUUAAUUUUUUGUCAGGCAGCUCCUCCAUCUCCAUUCCUUUGAGUCACUUACUCUUGCUUUAUUUCGUUCCUUUAGUGGUGCCGUAUUUCACUGAUUACUAAUGAUCCCUGUGGCCUUGCAUUGGUGUCUGUGCAUUUGAAGCAGGCGCCUCUUACAUUCUUUACAGACUGGCUUUGGCAAGGAAAUCCCUUUACCAGUCAACCUAUCCAGAGAUUCUGUGCAGGCCAUCUGGUGGCAGAGUACAGUCAGCCUUAUUGCUUAGAGUUCCUGGGUAGGCUGACCUGGUGUCUUGGUCAGCAGGUGGGCUGGCCUGACAUCUGGACCCACAGGGGCUGAACUGGUGCCUGAGUACAUGAAAGCAAUCCUGGAGCCUGGAUCCACUGGGGUUAGAGCAAUUGGAGUUAAAACAUAAACCUCAUGCUUAGGCAAGGAUGGACCUGGAUCCUGGGUCUGCGGAGAUCGGCUUGGUGCCAAGGUCCACAGGGGUGAACUGAGUCUACUGGACAGGCCUGGAGUCUGCGUCCACAAGGCCUAGACUGAAGCUUGGGUAUGUGAGAGCCAACAUUGGAUUGGCCUUGAGCCUGAGUCCAUAGGAACUAAAUGAUGCUGGGGCAGGCUUGUACUUUGUUCAUGAGAAUGUUCUUGGUCCUGUGUUCAUAGGGGUUGGCUUGAGGCCAGUGUUCACUGGAGUAGGUCGAGCACGUGGGCCCUUAGGCCUAGGCCUGGUGCCUGGGUCUGCAGGGCUGAACCUGGAAACUGGAGCCAUAUAGGCUAGCUUGGCACUGAAGUUCACUGAAAUGGGUCUAGUGCUGGUGUCCACUGUGAAAUCAGGUGCUGACUGCAUUCUCCUUCUCUCAUAUACAGGAAAUCUCUCUCCACAUUGCACUGCCUUGGCUUGGGGGAGUGGUGAUGCAAGUAAUGUAAAACUGUCCUUUCUACCGUUUUCAAUGCAUCUUUUCUUACUUCUGUGCUCCACUCAGAUGCCAUAAUCUCUCACCUAGAUUUCUUAACUCUUCUGAAGAUACUUUUGUGCUUGCAUAGGUGUUCAGAUUGAUGUUUCUCUAAGGAGACAAGUGUUGGAAAGUCCUAUUCUGAGAUAUUGCUGAUAUCACUCAUUCAAAAUAAAUGAUAUCAUAAGCGCAAGUCCUCCAAUUUUGCUCUUCUUAAAAAUCAUCUUGGCAAUUAUGGGUCCUUUAUAUUUCCAGGUAAACAUGUUAUGUCUGCAUGGAUACACACAUACAAUACACACACAAGUAGAUAUACACAAAAAACCUGCUGAUAUUUGAAAGGGAUCACAUUGAAUCAUUCAAUGAUUUGAAGAGGGUUGGCAUCUUUACAAUAUUGAAUCUUUCAAGGUAUGAACAUGCUAUAUCCCUCAGGAUUUUUAUAUCUUAAUUUUUCUCAACAACGUUUAAUGGUUUUUUGUGCAUACAUCUUGUGCCAUUUUCAAUUUAUUCUUAGGUAAUUGAGAAGUUUGAUGGCAUUUUAAAUAAUAACAUCAUUUUUUAUAUCUUGCUUGUUCAUAAUAGAAAUAAAAUUCAUUUUCAUGUUAACUUACUGAGCCAUGCAAAUUUCCCCUAUUAAUUUUAUAGUAUAUAUAAAUUUUCUACAUAUACAUUCAUGUCAUUUACAAAAAAUGAUAGUUUUAUUUCUUUCUACUCAAUCUUUACGCAUUUCAUUUUUUUUUCCUUGACUUACUGCAUUGGAUAAGUCCUCUACUAUAAUUUUCAUUAGAAAUGUCAAUAGUGGUCAUCCUUAGGUCAUUACCAACUUCAGAGAAAAUUUUUAAUAUAUCACUAUUAAAUAUUAUGUGAUGCUUGCUCUGUGACUUUUCAUAGAUAUUAUCAGAUUUAGUAAAUUUCCUUUUAUUUUUAGAUAUCUUCACAAUUUUACAAUGAUCAGGUCUUGAAUUUUUCCAAUGUUUUUACUGUAUGUAUUGAGAUGUUGACAUUUUUUCUUUAAUGUCAUCAAUAUAAUAAAUAAUGUGACUGUUUUUAUAAGUUUCCUUUUGUGUAAUGUCCUUGUUUGGGACUCACUGACCAAAGAAUAGUAUCCUGAUUUUUUUAUUUGUAAUUUUUUUAAAAGUUUGCAUAAUAUUUGUAUUAUUUCUUACAUAAAUUUCUUUAAAAUUUCACUGGCAAAGUAAUUUGCACCUAAAGAUUUUUGUGAGGGAGGAUUAUAAAUUUCAGUUUAAUAUAUUUGGUAACAUAUGACUAUUCAGAUAGUCUCUUUCUUGUUAUAGGUCAAAUUUGACAAAUCAUGUUUUUUAUGGAAUUUUUAUCAUUAAUCUUCAUUUUUUAAUGAAUCAGUGUAAAAUUUUACAUUAUAUCCUUGAUAUUUAUAUAAUCUAUAUUAAUCUCUUUUCUCAUUUUGUAAUUUUUGCCAUCUCUAAUUUUUGUCUGAUUAGUCUUGCUAUAUGUUUAUUUAGCCUCUCUAAUAAUCAACAUUUUGGUUUUUUUGUCUUUAUCAUAUAUUUGUUUUAUCAUUUAUUAAUUUUGUAUUAUUAAUUGAUUUUUGUUAUUUUAUUUCUUUGUGUUUGCAUAUUCUUUGCAUAUUCUUUGUGUUUAAUAUUUUCUAACUUCUUGAGAUUAAUACUUAGGUGGUCAAUUUCUAGCUUCUCUUCUUUAUGCAUAUAAAAAUAUGGGACUAUACAUUUCCCUCUAACACAACAUUAGCUGCAUCCGAAUGUUUUCAUAUUUCAUGAUUUUAUCGUCCAAAAUGCUAUCUAAUUUUUACUGUAAUUUAUUUUUGACUCACAGGUUAUUUAGAAAUGAAAUGUUUAAUAUCCAAAUAUUUAAGCAUUUCUAAUUUUAUUUUUGUUAUUUGUUUCUCAGUUCCAUGGCUGUCAGAGAAUAUAUGCUGAACAGUUUUAAUGCUUUAAAUUUGGUGAAACCUGAGUUCUUUUCCAAAAUAUAAUCAAUUUUACUUAAUAGUCCAUGUGUGGUGUUAAAAAAUAUUUUAUCAACACUAAAUUAGUAUUCAAUUAAGUCAGCUAGUUUUGUUCAAUUCAGUAAAUCAGAUCUAUUUAUGAAAAUUACGUCAAUUGGAACCAGAUCUUCUCUAUCUUUACUGACGUUUUAUCUGUUUGUUCUGUCAGCUCUGAGAAAAUUAUAGCUCCACUAUGGUUGUCCAUAUAUCUACUUGAUAAGUUUUGAAACUAUGUUAAUUAGGUACACAUGAAUUUAGAAUUAUUGCAUAUUCCUAGUGGAUUGACCCUCUCAUCAUUAUAAAAUGUCUAUUUUUAUCUCUGAUAAUCCUGCUUUUCUUAAAGUAGGCUUUGUUUUAUCUAAGGAUAAUUACCCCGGUUAUUAUCUUCUGGUUUGUUAUUGUAUCCUUUUGCUUUUUAUUUUUUUGUAUAUACCCUUAGAAUUAAAGCAAAUACUUUUUUACAGCUGUACAAAAGUAUUUUCUUUCUUUAUAUUCUUACUCUAUAAAAUUUUAAUUUUGUUUUACUUUUUAAACUUUUUUGUUAAAAACUAAGAAACAUACAUUAGCCUAGGCCUACACAGGGUGAGGAUCAUUUAAUAACACUGUCUUCCACCUCCACAUCUUGCCCUACUAGAAGGUAUUCAGGGGCAAAAACACACCUGAAGCUGUCAUCUGCUAUGAUAACAAUGCCUUCUUCUGGAAUACCACCUGAAAGAUCUGCCUGAGGCUGUUUUACAAUCAACAUUUUUUUUUUUUUUUUUUAGACAUAGUCUCACUCCAUCGCCCAGGCUGGAAUGCAGUGGUGUAAUCUCGGCUCACUGCAAC
rnacentral:lncRNA from 1 species